CUUAUCAAGAGUGGUGGAGGGACUGGCCCUAUGAUACCCGGCAACCGGUGAAAACUUGGUGCUAAUUCCAGCAGCACAUAUGUGCUGGCAGAUAAG
rnacentral:ncRNA from 1 species